UUGGAGUUUAAGAGUUCCACCCAGAUAAGAAUUUAUAUAUCUAUCAUUAAAAGUGAAGGGCUGGAGAUUUCACAACCAGCACUUGAUCCUCAACUUUCUGAAAGGUCUUGCUGUGGAGAUUUCACAACCAGCUCUGGAGAUUUUUCAAUUACUUACUGUGCUUAGAACUGGGCUUCGACUUUCUUGGUAUCCAAAAUGAAAGGUCUUGCUGAGAGAAAAAAGCUAGAGGACUUGACAAUUGGUCCAGUUCUCACUGUAAGUACAUGUCUUUCAUUUUCUUAAAUUUAAAAUUAAAAUAAGUGUUGGCAGCUUCA